GAUGAAGAACGUAGCGAAAUGCGAUAAGUAAUGUGAAUUGCAGAAUUCCGUGAAUCAUCGAAUCUUUGAACGCACAUUGCGCCCCCUGGCAUUCCGGGGGGCAUGCCUGUCCGAGCGUCAUUUCUGCCCUCAAGCACGGCUUGUGUGUUGGGUGUGGUCCCCCCGGGGACCUGCCCGAAAGGCAGCGGCGACGUCCGUCUGGUCCUCGAGCGUAUGGGGCUCUGUCACUCGCUCGGGUAGGACCUGCGGGGGUUGGUCACCACCAUGUUUUACCACGGUUGACCUCGGAUCAGGUAGGAGUUACCCGCUGAACUUAAGCAUAUCAAUAAGCGGAGGA
rnacentral:misc_RNA from 1 species